rnacentral:rRNA from 1 species
AACGCGAAGAACCUUACCUGGGCUUGACUUGCCAGGAUUAUCUCCGUGAAAGCGGAGUAGGCCCUUCGGGGUACAACUGGUACAGGUGCUGCAUGGCUGUCGUCAGCUCGUGUCGUGAGAUGUCGGGUUAAGUCCCUUAACGAGCGAAACCUUUGCCCUUAGUUACCAGCGGGUUAUGCCGGGGACUCUAAGGGGACUGCCGGUGUCAAACCGGAGGAAGGUGGAGAUGACGUCAAGUCCUCAUGGCCUUUAUGCCCAGGGCCACACACGUGCUACAAUGGGGUGCACAGAGCGAACCGAUGGCGCGAGCCGGAGGAAAUCGCAGAAAUCACCCCCCAGUUCAGAUCGGAGGCUGCAACCCGCCUCCGUGAAGUUGGAAUCGCUAGUAAUCGCGGAUCAGCUACGCCGCGGUGAAUGUGUUCCCGGGCCUUGUACACACCGGCUAC